CGCCCGGUAGCUCAGUGGUUAGAGCGCUGGCUUUAUAAGCCAGAGGACCGUGGUUCAAUUCCCCGCCGGGUAG